GACGAACGCUGGCGGCGUGCUUAACACAUGCAAGUCGAACGGUAAGGCUCCAGCUUGCUGGGGUACACGAGUGGCGAACGGGUGAGUAACACGUGGGUGACCUGCCCUGCACUUCGGGAUAAGCCUGGGAAACUGGGUCUAAUACCGGAUAGGACCGCACCGUGAGGGUGUGGUGGAAAGUUUUUUCGGUGUGGGAUGGGCCCGCGGCCUAUCAGCUUGUUGGUGGGGUAAUGGCCUACCAAGGCGGCGACGGGUAGCCGGCCUGAGAGGGUGGACGGCCACAUUGGGACUGAGACACGGCCCAGACUCCUACGGGAGGCAGCAGUGGGGAAUAUUGCACAAUGGGCGGAAGCCUGAUGCAGCGACGCCGCGUGGGGGAUGACAGCCUUCGGGUUGUAAACUCCUUUCACCAUCGACGAAGGGUUUCUGACGGUAGAUGGAGAAGAAGCACCGGCUAACUACGUGCCAGCAGCCGCGGUAAUACGUAGGGUGCGAGCGUUGUCCGGAAUUACUGGGCGUAAAGAGCUCGUAGGUGGUUUGUCGCGUCGUCUGUGAAAUUCCGGGGCUUAACUCCGGGCGUGCAGGCGAUACGGGCAUAACUUGAGUACUGUAGGGGAGACUGGAAUUCCUGGUGUAGCGGUGAAAUGCGCAGAUAUCAGGAGGAACACCGGUGGCGAAGGCGGGUCUCUGGGCAGUAACUGACGCUGAGGAGCGAAAGCAUGGGGAGCGAACAGGAUUAGAUACCCUGGUAGUCCAUGCCGUAAACGGUGGGCGCUAGGUGUGGGUUUCCUUCCACGGGAUCCGUGCCGUAGCUAACGCAUUAAGCGCCCCGCCUGGGGAGUACGGCCGCAAGGCUAAAACUCAAAGGAAUUGACGGGGGCCCGCACAAGCGGCGGAGCAUGUGGAUUAAUUCGAUGCAACGCGAAGAACCUUACCUGGGCUUGACAUAUACAGGAUCGCGCCAGAGAUGGUGUUUCCCUUGUGGCUUGUAUACAGGUGGUGCAUGGUUGUCGUCAGCUCGUGUCGUGAGAUGUUGGGUUAAGUCCCGCAACGAGCGCAACCCUUGUCUUAUGUUGCCAGCACGUUGUGGUGGGGACUCGUAAGAAACUGCCGGGGUUAACUCGGAGGAAGGUGGGGAUGACGUCAAAUCAUCAUGCCCCUUAUGUCCAGGGCUUCACACAUGCUACAAUGGUCGGUACAGUGGGUUGCCAGUCCGUGAGGGCGAGCUAAUCCCGCAAAGCCGGUCUCAGUUCGGAUCGGGGUCUGCAACUCGACCCCGUGAAGUCGGAGUCGCUAGUAAUCGCAGAUCAGCAACGCUGCGGUGAAUACGUUCCCGGGCCU
rnacentral:rRNA from 1 species